AAAGUGGCGAACGGCUGAGUAACACGUGGGCAACCUGCCCUUUGCACUGGGAUAGCCUCGGGAAACCGAGGUUAAUACCGGAUACUCCAUAUUUGUCGCAUGGCGAAUAUGGGAAAGCUCCGGCGGCAAAGGAUGGGCCCGCGGCCUGUUAGCUAGUUGGUGGGGUAGUGGCCUACCAAGGCAAUGAUGGGUAGCCGGGUUGAGAGACCGACCGGCCAGAUUGGGACUGAGACACGGCCCAGACUCUACGGGAGGCAGCAGCA
rnacentral:rRNA from 1 species